UCUAGCCUGGAUAGCCUUGAGUUCAAGGGGGCUUUUCCAGCCUUUCUCCUUCCUCAGUGAAUCUAAAAUUCUGGCUCCUCCUCCACUCCCGUAAUCGCACCUCCACCCUGCAGAGCAGCUCUGGUUGUUCUGUUAGGACGUGGGUGUCGGUGUGGAGCAAGCCGCGCCCCCGCAGCCCUUCUCACUCAGGCGAGGGGCGGGGCCGAGAAAGUAGCAGCAGCGCCCCCCGCGCCCCCCGCGCCUUCCUUGCAAGCCUUGGAACAGUCUGCUGCAGGGAGCGCAGCCCGGGACGGCGCGGUGCGGCUGCAGCUCUGGCGAGUUCUGGACGUGCACGCAUCGCGACACAAAGUUUCCAGUCAGGGGCGCUGGGUGGCUGAGGUCCGCUGAGCUGGAGGUGGCCCCGCCAAGAAGUGGGUGUGAGUGGGUUUUUCGGGAUUCCGGGAGACCCUUUCUGCCUACGCAGCGCGGACGCGGAAUAUCAACCGAACUUUAAAAAAGCUACUCGAGACGUACCAGCGCCAAGAUCUUCACUGUUGGAGACCCCAAAGAGGACGGGUCUAGCCCCGGGGAAAUGCUGCGAGAGCAGAUCAGUCCGUGACCGGCAACUUUCGGGUAGACUUUGCAGUGGAGAACUACGCUUUGCCCCUUCUCGUUCUCCCAAGCCCAGCCAUCGUCGUUGUCCUGCGGUCCGGGAGAGCUCGGUCAGCUCCCCGCCCCAGCAGUGAGUGAAUUGAAUCGCCCGCCGGAUCCGGCGCCUCGGGGCUGAUGUGAGCGUCGCUCUUGGCCUGUCCAUCUUCUUUUCUCCCCGGAGGAAACAGCCCACCGUUCCCCACCCUCUGGGCGUCCCCGGCUCCGGGCGCCAAAACCAGCAGUUUGGCGGAGAGCCGGCUCUUGGAUGCUGAAGGCUGCACUCCUCCACUGUGGGUGCCAAGGCGGCGAUGGGUUUCCUCAAAGUGUGGCUCGGGGUGGCCGUAGCGUUGGCGGAAUUUGCAGUAUUGCUUCAUCAUUCCGAAGGUAAAAAGAGCAGUGGC
rnacentral:lncRNA from 1 species